UCCAAUUCUAUCUUCCACUACCCCCUUUUGGUUUAAUUCCCUAAUAUUUCAUCUUUGUUCAUUUAGAUUCUUUUUAUUUAUGCCUACAGGUUGUUUCAUGAAAACGAAAGUGGGAUGGAGGGGAAGAUUGACCUAUGGGGAGUAAUGAGAAGUGCCAAUUAUUGUGAUUAGAGGAAAAUUCAUAGGAUGCAAUAAUUUUCAUGCCCUGUAUCUAUAGACUUGGAAGAAGCCAGUUGUAUCUAUAGACUGUGGCUGAUGACCCCCUUCUGACCGCAGGCCGACCAAUUUUGCAGCAUGCAAUCUAAAAAUAAUCUUCAUCUAAUCUUUUUGUCUACAAGUUUAUAGGUACGCGCUGGAUGUUAACUUUGAGAGGAUGGAUAACGUGGUGACGCAUCCCCAGCCGGUCGGGGAGGCACCCUGAUAUUCAACCGGAAGAAACCAUGCUCCUCGAGCAAGAGGACUGGAAUCUUCGCUGCCACUCGAUGGAGGAGGGGGUACGCGGGCUUCAAAUGGAGGUGCAUCAUUUAGGAUAUCUGAUGUGUCGCCGCCACCUGGAGUCGCCUCGCCAUCGUGGUUGUUACCAUUGUCUAACAAGAUUCCCCACUGCUUGACCAGGCAAGAUGACUGCGGAAUCGUCGUUGCCGCUCGAUGGAGGAGGGGGUGCGCGGGUUUCAAAUGGAGGUGCAGCAUUUAGGGUCUCUGAUGUGUCGCCUCCACCUGGAGUUGUCUCGCCAUGGUGAUUGUUACCAUUGCCUAACAAGGUUGGUGAUUGAUGCUACUGGUAUUUAACUUGAGGGAUGCAUAAUUCAGGAUGGAUUUCUGGUUUGGGUGAUCUUCUUAUGGCCAUCGGUACAUCUGCAGAUUCCGCUAUGACACCGCUGGGCAGCACGAUGACGGAGGCCUGAAGUGUAUGACCAGCAAUAGCAUCCAUGGGCAGCAUCUGCUGGCACAAUGAAGGAAGUAGGCAAUGUUUUAUUGUAGCUUGCUGCUUAACAAUGGAUUUCGAUCCUGUGAAUUGAUGUAACAAAUAAAUUUUUCAAUGUCAGCUGCAGCAAGAUAUAGGUGUUGUACCCAACAUUGUUUCUAUAGGUGCGCCCUCUCACAAAGAACUCACAGAAUUGGGCAUUCAUUCCAAUUUUAGCAACCAAUUGCUAUCGUAGAGAUAUAUCCAUCUAUGCAAGGGUCAGAAUGAAUGGUGGAAGCAGGUGUUGUCUGCAUACCAAGAAUUCAAUUUCUACUGAUGACAUUGAGUUUUCUGCUCGUUCGAUUUGUUGUUGGAGUUUCUCAUGGCAAUACGCCGGAUAGCUGCCUCUGGAAUACAAGUGCAGCCAGUAGUUUGUAUUGGGACCUUUUGAGAUCAUGUUCUGUUUGUAUGGAUGCUAUGGAGCUGUUUUAAUUGCAACGCUUCAGUUUUAGCAUAUCAGCUUAUCUUAGCAAGAUGGCAUUAAUUACUGGAUAUGCAAAACCAGGAUUUUAACACAGAAACCCCGGUGCCAAUAAGUAGAUAGAUACAACUGAUUGCAGGAGCUUGAUAUUUCUUAAGUACCAAACUUCAAGUAUCUGCAGAUGACUGUACUGCUUAGGCUACCUACAAGAACUACCGCACUUCAAGAAUAAAUUAGCAGUUGAUAUAUGCCAUGUUCAGUGACCCCUCUUCUGUAAUUUAGUGUCCAUUUCUAUGUUUGUCACAUAACCAGUAUCUAUUGGAGAACUUCUGCUUCUUUUGUUUCAAUAUUAUCUCUUACUUUUCUGCU